rnacentral:rRNA from 1 species
UGGGGAAUAUUGCACAAUGGGCGCAAGCCUGAUGCAGCCAUGCCGCGUGUAUGAAGAAGGCCUUCGGGUUGUAAAGUACUUUCAGCGAGGAGGAAGGCGGUAAGGUUAAUAACCUUAUCGAUUGACGUUACUCGCAGAAGAAGCACCGGCUAACUCCGUGCCAGCAGCCGCGGUAAUACGGAGGGUGCAAGCGUUAAUCGGAAUUACUGGGCGUAAAGCGCACGCAGGCGGUUUGUCACGUCGGAUGUGAAAUCCCCGGGCUCAACCUGGGAACUGCAUUCGAAACUGGCAGGCUAGAGUCUUGUAGAGGGGGGUAGAAUUCCAGGUGUAGCGGUGAAAUGCGUAGAGAUCUGGAGGAAUACCGGUGGCGAAGGCGGCCCCCUGGACAAAGACUGACGCUCAGGUGCGAAAGCGUGGGGAGCAAACA